GUUCAGUUACCAUAGACUUGGAAAUGGUGGCUACCCCAGAAUCAAUUGAUUUUGAAUUAAAUUUAACUUUUGGUUUCUCAUUUGCCACUGCCUCAGCAAGUGAACUACAAUCUGAGCCAGCAUACGAAUUGGCUGAAAUAAACUCAUCACCUUUUUCUUCACUAGAUACAAUUCCACCAUCACUUGGUCCAAUUAUUACUUUCAUCUUUCUCAGACCUGCAAUCUG
rnacentral:misc_RNA from 1 species